GCCUCCGUGGUCUAAAGAAUAAGGCACAACACUUCUAAUGUUGCUGAUCGGGGUUUGAGUCCCUGCGGAGGUGCCA
rnacentral:tRNA from 1 species